CUUUAUGAAAACAGACAUAUCUCAUAUGCCUUAUAGAUUUAAGUAUUUUUCUAUGCAAGUAUUUUACGAGUUUACCCUUACCACUGAACCUACAAUGGUGAUUGAGCUCCUGCAACAACAACGAUUUUGACAACGGUAAGAAGCAACGGCGGUGACUCAUGAAUCAUGUCUCGUGAUGAAAAAGACGGCAAGAUCUCGACCUCCAAUUAGCGUUGGCGACGAUGGUGAGUUUCAACGACGAUGGUGAGUUGAGCGAUAGUGAGAAGCGAAGGUGAUAGUUUGGAUCUCUAGAAUUACUUUUCCAAAUCCUCUGUUAUUAGUUGGUGACGAUGAUGAUGAACUCUAUUGACAAUAAAAAUCAAAUUUGGUUUAGAAUUAAUAAUGAAUUGGAGUGUUUAAGAUUAGAACCCAAGGGUUCCCUAGAUAGUAUCCCUUUAGGGUUUAGAUUUCUUCAAUCAAAAAUCAUUUAUUUUGAUUGAUUGGGUUAAUCAGAAUAGACAUGUUGGC